rnacentral:tRNA from 1 species
GUGGUGGCUCAGUGGUAGGGCAUUUGCCUAGCACCUGUGAGGCACUGAGUUCAAUACUCAGCACCACA